rnacentral:rRNA from 1 species
GAUGAACGCUAGCUACAGGCUUAACACAUGCAAGUCGCGGGGCAGCAUGGGGGUUGCUUGCAAUCCCCGAUGGCGACCGGCGCACGGGUGAGUAACGCGUAUCCAACCUGCCCUUCACCACGGGAUAACCCGGCGAAAGUCGGACUAAUACCGUAUGUUGUCCAUUGACGGCAUCCGAUUUGGACGAAAGGUUUGGCGGUGAAGGAUGGGGAUGCGUCCGAUUAGCUGGACGGCGGGGUGACGGCCCACCGUGGCGACGAUCGGUAGGGGUUCUGAGAGGAAGGUCCCCCACACUGGAACUGAGACACGGUCCAGACUCCUACGGGAGGCAGCAGUGAGGAAUAUUGAUCAAUGGGCGUAAGCCUGAACCAGCCAAGUAGCGUGCAGGAUGACGGCCCUAUGGGUUGUAAACUGCUUUUAUGCGGGGAUAAAGUGGCCCACGUGUGGGUUUUUGCAGGUACCGCAUGAAUAAGGACCGGCUAAUUCCGUG